GCGCGGGCACCUGGCGCGGAGCUGGCGGGAGGGCUGGGAAUCUGCAAACGUUCGCAGUUCGGGUGGACUGCGGGGGGAGUUGACACCCCCCCACCCCCACCGCCUGCGCUUCCUUUCACUUUGAAGUUCUGUGGCUCCGCACUGGAGCUGGGAGGCCAGUCCUCCAGCCUGGGGCUUUCAAUAUUCACAUCACGUCCUCUUUGCGGCUACAGCGGAAGUUCAGGCGACCUCCCCGCAACACAAGGUGGGGUGGGGGGUUUCGAACCACAGUGCUGCGUCUCGAAUCGCCAGGCGUGACCAAGUAGUUGAGACAUGACUGGGAUCUAGGGUGCAGAAGGGCCCUCUUGGGUAAGAGCGGUUGUAAAGAUAUGAUGACGAGAAAUAAAAGUGAAUGUGGAAACAUGAAUCUCUAAGCCCCCAUCCUAGGAACUUUCCGUGUUUCCGUAUUCAAGACAGGAGGAAAGCAUUAUGUGGCACACGUGACAUCUGCAAAUCAGUGCAUAUUCUUCUGCACCCUCGUCUACUCCUGUGUGUUGAAUAUUAAAUAUUGAGUUAAUGAAUUCACCGAAUGGGUUGAUUAAAAUGGAUGGCCUUUCCCGAUGUGGGUGGGCCUCAUGCAAUCAGCUGAAGGCUGAAAAGAACAAAAAGGCU